ACCUUCCAGUUCCCUUUCCCAUCAGAUCCAGACACUGCUCUGGGUGGUCGUAGAAGGAAGAAAAGACACAUUAAAGCUGCCUGUCAGUGUUCUUGGAGCUGGGGCUAGUUUCAAAGACGG